CUGGAGUUUAUAAACUAUUGGAUCAUCAGCAGCCGAGAGACCAAAUACAAGAGAUUCAAAGUUACAAUCCGUGGGAGUGAAAGAAGUCCAGAUGCGGGGCCUGAGCAGGAGGGGACCCCCUUAAUGCAAAUAUAAAAAAUAUGACAGUAAUAGUAACUGUGAAUUCAGUCAGUAUUGCACAUUUUUAUAUGAUAUUACAUAUCCAAUGAGAGUGAUUGUUUUCUUAAACUAUUUAACUUUGGUGCUUGUGGAAAAAAAAAGGUGACAUAUAACAGUAUUUGGUUCAACGAAUUUACUUUACUACAUCAGUUUGUUAGUAAAUUAACUUUAUACCGUUGUAUACGGAAGUACUGUGUUGUUAUUUGUUACUGUCUGUCCUUUAUAAGAGAACACUAUAUUUAUUAUUGGCUGAAUGAGCCCUGACUGAUUGUUCUCUUUAAAUCAUCUUGGUUUUUGUAUUCCACUACUUUUAUUGUAUUGUGCCUGGAAUAAUUGCUUUUGAUUGUUGUAUUCUCAUCUGUAAGUCAUUUAGAUAAAAAUUAUCUGCUCAAUAAAUAAAAGGUCACAUACAGA